rnacentral:rRNA from 1 species
GAUGGGCUCGCGGCCUAUCAGCUUGUUGGCGGGGUGAUGGCCUACCAAGGCGACGACGGGUAGCCGGCCUUAGAGGGCGACCGGCCACACUGGGACUGAGACACGGCCCAGACUCCUACGGGAGGCAGCAGUGGGGAAUAUUGCACAAUGGGCGGAAGCCUGAUGCAGCGACGCCGCGUGAGGGAUGACGGCCUUCGGGUUGUAAACCUCUUUCAGCAGGGACGAAGCGCAAGUGACGGUACCUGCAGAAGAAGCGCCGGCCAACUACGUGCCAGCAGCCGCGGUAAGACGUAGGGCGCGAGCGUUGUCCGGAUUUAUUGGGCGUAAAGAGCUCGUAGGCGGCUUGUCGCGUCGACUGUGAAAACCCACAGCUUAACUGUGGGCUUGCAGCCGAUACGGGCAGGCUAGAAUUCGGUAGGGGAGACUGGAAUUCCUGGUGUAGCGGUGAAAUGCGCAGAUAUCAGGAGGAACACCGGUGGCGAAGGCGGGUCUCUGGGCCGAUGUUGACGCUGAGGAGCGGAAGCGUGGGGAGCGAACAGGAUUAGAUACCCUGGUAGUCCACGCUGUAAACGUUGGGCGCUAGGUGU